GUUCUCAAAAAGGGGUGCCCAUUAUUGGCUGAGAUCAUACCCAUUGAACCUGAGCAGAUAAUGCUGCUAAGGGAAAUAACAUAAACAAAAG
rnacentral:ncRNA from 1 species